rnacentral:rRNA from 1 species
GACGAACGCUGGCGGCGUGCUUAACACAUGCAAGUCGAGCGGUAAGGCCCUUUCGGGGGUACGACGAGCGGCGAACGGGUAGAGUAACACGUGGGUGACCUCGCCCUUAGCUCUGGGAUAAGCCUGGGAAACGUGGGUCUAAUACCGGAUAUGACUCCAUGACGCAUGUUGUGGGGUGGAAAGCCUUGUGCGGCUAGGGAUGGGCCCGGCGGCCUAUCAGCUUGUUGGUGGGGUGAUGGCCUACCCAAGGCGACGACGGGUAGCCGGCCUGAGAGGGCGACCGGCCACACUGGGACUGAGACACGGCCCAGACUCCUACGGGAGGCAGCAGUGGGGAAUCUUGCGCAAUGGGCGAAAGCCUGACGCAGCGACGCCGCGUGAGGGAUGACGCCUGUGUAACU